CGGGAAAUGUAUUUUGUUGGCUCGUUAACUCCGCCAGGACAGAAAUGUAGCAACGGUAGCGAGCCAGCCAGAGAGAAAAAUGUCACAUAU
rnacentral:SRP_RNA from 1 species